UACGUAGGGUGCAAGCGUUAAUCGGAAUUACUGGGCGUAAAGCGUGCGCAGGCGGUUUUGUAAGUCUGUCGUGCAAGCCCCGGGCUCAACCUGGGAAUUGCGAUGGAGACUGCAAGGCUUGAAUCUGGCAGAGGGGGGUAGAAUUCCACGUGUAGCAGUGAAAUGCGUAGAGAUGUGGAGGAACACCGAUGGCGAAGGCAGCCCCCUGGGUCAAGAUUGACGCUCAUGCACGAAAGCGUGGGGAGCAAACAGG
rnacentral:rRNA from 1 species